GACGAACGCUGGCGGCGUGCUUAACACAUGCAAGUCGAACGGAAAGGCCCUGCUUUUGUGGGGUGCUCGAGUGGCGAACGGGUGAGUAACACGUGAGUAACCUGCCCUUGACUUUGGGAUAACUUCAGGAAACUGGGGCUAAUACCGGAUAGGAGCUCCUGCUGCAUGGUGGGGGUUGGAAAGUUUCGGCGGUUGGGGAUGGACUCGCGGCUUAUCAGCUUGUUGGUGGGGUAGUGGCUUACCAAGGCUUUGACGGGUAGCCGGCCUGAGAGGGUGACCGGCCACAUUGGGACUGAGGUACCGCCCAGACUCCUACGGGAGGCAGCAGUGGGGAAUAUUGCACAAUGGGCGGAAGCCUGAUGCAGCAACGCCGCGUGCGGGAUGACGGCCUUCGGGUUGUAAACCGCUUUCGCCUGUGACGAAGCGUGAGUGACGGUAAUGGGUAAAGAAGCACCGGCUUACUACGUG
rnacentral:rRNA from 1 species